AAACCCCCUCGCCGAAAGACUAAGGUUUCCUGAUCAACGCUAAUCGGAUCAGGGUAAGUCGGGUCCUAAGGCUCAGCCGAAGGGCGAUGCCGAUGGCAGAAACGGUUAAUAUUCCGUUACUACCUCCAGGAGUGAUGUGGAGACGCAGUAGUGACAAUGCCGCCAUCUGACGGAAUAGAUGGUUGAAGGGUGUAGAUGUUGAUCUUGGCAGGCAAAUCCACCAUGAGAAUCGAACCUGAUAGUAUGCCGCGUCCCUCGGGACAAGGCAAUAGUGCAUGUAAUCAUGCUGCCAAGAAAAUCCGCUAAACUAAAUCCUGUAGGUACCCGUACCGUAAACGGACACACGUAGUCGGGAUGAAUAUUCUAAGGCGCUUGAGUGAUUCACGGUUAAGGAACUAGGCAAACUGACCCUGUAACUUCGGGAUAAAGGGUCCCUACCCGGUGACGGGAGGGCGCAGAGAAUAGGUCCAGGCAACUGUUUAACAAAAACACAGGGCUGUGCUAAAUCGAAAGAUCCUGUAUACAGCCUGACACCUGCCCGGUGCUGGAAGGUUAAGAGGAGACGUCAUCGUUGAGAGAAGCGUUGAAUUGAAGCCCCAGUAAACGGCGGCCGUAACUAUAACGGUCCUAAGGUAGCGAAAUUCCUUGUCGGGUAAGUUCCGACCUGCACGAAUGGUGUAAUGAUCUGGACGCUGUCUCAACCGUGAGCUCAGUGAAAUUGUAGUAUCGGUGAAGAUGCCGAUUACCCGCGAUGGGACGAAAAGACCCCGUGAACCUUUACUAUAGCUUAUCAUUGAAUCUGGGCACGUGAUGUGUAGGAUAGGUCGGAGGCUUUGAAGGGGGUACGCCAGUAUCCUUGGAGCCGCUGUUGAAAUACGACCCUUCAUUUGUUUGGAUUCUAACCCGUGUAUAUGGGGACACUGAUUGGUGGGUAGUUUGACUGGGGUGGUCGCCUCCAAAAGCGUAACGGAGGCUUCUAAAGGUGCCCUCACGGCGAUUGGUAACCGCCGUUAGAGUGUAAUGGCAUAAGGGCGCUUGACUGGGAGACUGACAAGUCGAUCAGGUAGGAAACUAGAGCAUAGUGAUCCGGUGUUUCCGUAUGGAAGGGACAUCGCUCAAAGGAUAAAAGGUACUCCGGGGAUAACAGGCUGAUCCCUCCCAAGAGCUCAUAUCGACGGAGUGGUUUGGCACCUCGAUGUCGGCUCGUCACAUCCUGGGGCUGGAGAAGGUCCCAAGGGUUGGGCUGUUCGCCCAUUAAAGUGGCACGCGAGCUGGGUUCAGAACGUCGUGAGAC
rnacentral:rRNA from 1 species